rnacentral:rRNA from 1 species
AUAUUAUUAAGCGGAGGAAAAGAAACUAACUAGGAUUCCCCUAGUAAUGGCGAAUGAACGGGGAAGAGCCCAGCACCGAAUCCUGCGGCGUCUCGUCGUUAGGACCUGUGGUGUUUAGGCAAGCCUUUCCGGCAUCUCGAGGCAGUCAAAGUCCCCUUGAGGGGGGCCAGUCGCCCCAU